rnacentral:misc_RNA from 1 species
UCUCCGUUGGUGAACCAGCGGAGGGAUCAUUACCGAGUUUACAACUCCCAAACCCCUGUGAACAUACCCAACGUUGCUUCGGCGGGACCGCCCCGGCGCCCUCGGCGUCCCGGAACCAGGCGCCCGCCGGAGGACCCAAACUCUUGUUUAAACCAUAGUGGCAUAUUCUGAGUCUCACAAGAAAAAUGAAUCAAAACUUUCAACAACGGAUCUCUUGGCUCUG